rnacentral:rRNA from 1 species
AUUGUUCUUCAGCAGUCCAAAAUAUUAGUCAAUGCUCGAAAGAGUGAACUAGCUAACUGAAUCAAUUAAAAAUUGAUAACAUAAGGGAAAAUAAUGAUAUUACCUUAUUAUUAGUGUCGUCCAAAACUGGUGCCAGAAGACUCGGUAAGGCCAGAGACAUAAACGUUAAUCGUCUUAAUCAGGCGUAAAGGGUUUGUAGGCGGCUUUUAAAUUUACUUAUUUAAUUUUAUUUUAUUUUUUUUAAUUAAAAUUUAUAAGUACAGAAUAAAAGCUAGAAUCAAAUAGAGGAUAUAUCAAAUAAUGCUUAGAGUAGGUCUGAUAUCCUUAGAUACUAAGUAGAAUAUUAAAGGCGAAGGCUUUUUUCCAUUAAUGAUUGACGCUCAGAAACGAAGGUGAGGAUAGGAAAUAGGAUUAGAUACCCAAAAUACCCCUCUCUGUCAACGAUGAAUGGUAGUUAUUAGUAAUAAAUUAAUUAAUGACAAUGUUAACACGAUAACCAUUCCGCCUUGUGAGUACAACUGCAAAGUUGAAAACAAAAAAAUUAGUCGGUUUCGGAGCAAACGAAGUGAAGCAUGUUAUUUAAUUCAUUAAUCCGCAGAUGAUUUU